GCAGACUCACUCUGUGCUCAACUGCAAACUCCAGUUUCAGUGCUUUUUCAGUCUGCUAUAUAAACACCAUGAUCAACUGAACACUUUUUUUCAAUGUAGAAAAGUUGUGUUUGGUGAUGGGAUAUUAGU